rnacentral:rRNA from 1 species
UACGAAGGGGGCUAGCGUUGUUCGGAAUUACUGGGCGUAAAGCGCGCGCAGGCGGCUAUCCAAGUCAGUGGUGAAAGCCCGGAGCUCAACUCCGGAACUGCCAUUGAAACUGUUUAGCUUGAGGAUGAGAGAGGUGAGUGGAAUUCCCAGUGUAGAGGUGAAAUUCGUAGAUAUUGGGAAGAACACCGGUGGCGAAGGCGGCUCACUGGCUCAUUACUGACGCUCAGGCGCGAUAGUGUGGGGAUCAAACAGG